CACUCGAAGGUCACGGAGAUCUUUACGUAAAACGUGUCAUGCAAUGGUGUAGAGGAUGGGUGAGGACGGACGUUUUGCAUCAUUAUCAAGCAGGUACAACACCCGCAAGGCUUUAGAGGUAAGGGUGAGAAAAAAUAUCGUAUAAAAGGAGAGAGAAAAGGCGAAGGAAAGUCAGUCGAGUGAGCAUCUCCGACACGGCAACAACUGCAGCGCACUCACCAUCUGCCUUCUUCAACGUAUUGCAGUUCUCAUACUUCUCAACCAUGGUUAACUAAGGCGUCGUAUGCUGUUGGGUGUCGUAUCGUUGAAGGCUGGGUCGACCACUGGUGUACCGAUGUCUUCUGGGUAUGGUGGAUGCCAAACCGCAACGUGCCGCCUUACUACUACAACAACAACAACAUACGCAACAACCGGUUCCUACACCACCAAGGCUCAAGAGUGUUACGCUACAAUUCAUGAUGCCCCGAGCAGCUACACCGAAUCCCCGAAGUAUAACUCUGCCCUGAGUUACAUCACCAGAGAGGCGGAGUACUACACCGAGGCCCCGCAGUACUACAACACCGAAGCGCUCAAGUACUACACUACAUCCUACGCUGCCCCGAGCUACUACACCUACGUCCCGAAGUAUUACUGUGCGUAAAAGGAGUCGUUAAAAAAAAAAAAGGAAGUCGUGCCCAAACUGCAGAGCCUUAUCUGUCACCAACUGGAUUCCCCAUCGUGUAACCGAUUCUCAAUUAUGGAUAACUAUGGCGUCGUGCUCCUGUUGGGUGUUGUAUCGUUGAUGGCUGGGUCGAU